GAUGAACGCUGGCGGCGUGCCUAAUACAUGCAAGUCGAGCGAACGGACGAGAAGCUUGCUUCUCUGAUGUUAGCGGCGGACGGGUGAGUAACACGUGGAUAACCUACCUAUAAGACUGGGAUAACUUCGGGAAACCGUAGCUAAUACCGGAUAAUAUUUUGAACCGCAUGGUUCAAAAGUGAAAGACGGUCUUGCUGUCACUUAUAGAUGGAUCCGCGCUGCAUUAGCUAGUUGGUAAGGUAACGGCUUACCAAGGCAACGAUGCAUAGCCGACCUGAGAGGGGGAUCUGCCCCACUGGAACUGAGACAACGUCCAGACUCCUGCGGGAGGCAGCAGUAGGGAAUCGGCAGCCAUGGGCUAAAGUCUGCCGGAGCACCGGCGCGUGCGGGAGGAAGGUCUUCGGAUCGUAAAACUCUGUUAGUAGGGAAGAACAUAUGUGUACGUAACUGUGCCCAUCUUGACGGUACCUAAGCAGAAAGCCACGGCUAACUUCGUG
rnacentral:rRNA from 1 species